UUCUCAAAACAUAGUACCGCAUAAAAUUCUCUGCCCUAAUCUCCGUCUACCUAGCGUUAGAGCCGGUCUCACUCGUCUGGUCGUGUGCGAAAUCGAUCAACUGAUCAUCUGCCCUAGUUUCCAUCUCCUCCUUUGAGAAUCCAAGAUCUUCUUCUUCUUCUUCUCUAACAUUAAAAAAUUGGAUAAAUUUGAGAGUGUUAACAUGAAUGAUCAUCGUGAUCAUAUCUUCGCAUGGAUGAAAGAGUUAUAGAACAAAUGGAGAGGACACUUUCAUGCAAAAUAUGUGAAGGAUAAGCCAAUCCAACAGGCUCUUAAGAAUAUUCCAAAGGGAGUAGACAAGAACGAAUGGGAGUGGUUAGUAAAAGAACAUUUUUCUUCAGAAAGUUUUCAGGCGAGAAGCAACAGGAAUGCGGCAAAUCGAGCUAAGUUGAAGAUGCUUCAUCAUAUUGGUAGCAAGCCUAUUCGUGAGAUCAUUUAUCAAAAGGGCGGAAAAGAUGGCAACCCACCGGAUUUGACAACAAUUUUCUUUGAGACCCGUAAGAAAGAUAACAAGCUUGUUGAACCUUGCCACAUCUUGUGAAUUCUAUGAGAAACUUGCCACAUCUUAAUUUGAAUUAUAUUGGUUUUGAAGAUUGAAGCUACAAGUCAAGAUACAAGUUUAGAAGAUGCACAAGUUCAUUAUUAUUUUGCUAGGGCUGUUAUGCAAAACUUGAUAUCAUAGUCUAGCUCAGGAUGUUAGCUAAGUUUUUUUGUUAAGGUGUUGAGCAAAUAUUGAAACUAAUUAACAUCAUCAUGGGAUAUUAACUUGAUAUAUUAUAUUUUUAUAUUUAGAUUUUC